ensembl:lncRNA
GUUAGUAUUUUGAUAGCGUUGAUAACGUUUCAGACAGAUAAUAUCAUGAUGUUUUUUGCGUCUGCCUAAGCAAAUGUGAUAUCCUUUCAGUCCAUGGGCUUUUCUGAUUACGGUCUGUUUAAGUGCAGCGAUGCAGUUUUGCCAGAUAUUGCUAUGAAAAUAAAUAAAAAAACGUAAAAUAAAUAAAAUACAAGCCGAAACUAGUUAAAAUCUUUUGUACAUAACAUAUAGCUAACCAUAAAAUGUAACUUCCUACUUUAUUCAUUUCUAAAGUGUUAAGUUAAGGGGAAAAGACAAGUCAAAAGAUGCUUAUAAUGGCUGGAUCUGGCAACACUCACAACUCUCUCAAGCCUCGUUGACUGCGCCAGUCAUAAGCUGUGUCCCAAAGUUGAGUGUGCACACUUCGAAGGCCACGGACUUCGAAGACCAGACCUCCGAAGUGCACGAAGGGUCCUCCGAAGUGCGUGAGAUGCUCCGCCUUCACAGGAUUUCCUAAUUCCGUCACCAGGUGUUUCCGAUUAGCGCUCUGUCGCAUAGCAACGGUGUGAGAGGAGAGCUGACGAGAGGACAGUCCUGCCAGGACAGGUGGAGCCAGAACUGCUCGUUUUUGUUUUUAUGAUUUACUCAUAAUGGAGGAGACGGUGAUGAACCUCAGGCUUAGCCAAGACCGAGGCCAGGUAAACUACACUGGUUUACUGCGAUCUUCGUCGGAUUACAACUUUAAAUGCAGAGCAGACCCCUGUACUGCAGGAUAAAGCUGAAUGUGGCAGCGCUGGACAGGUGGUUAAUGGUUUUGUGCUGAGCAGGGAGACCCUGACUGUGCUGCUGGAUCUACUGGGAAGUGAACGGCAACAGUGAUGGUGUGUCACGAUCCAGACCCUGGUGUUUCUCUUCUGUCUGCUAGAGGUACAUCAUACAGAUGGUCUCCAGAGUGUUUGACAUGUGCCUCGUUCCACUGUCACCGCUCUGUCCUCUGAGUCUCUGAGGAGGUGCUGGCCAUUCACCAAGAGAUUCACCUCCUGAAGAUCCCAGAACACACGGAGGCAGGGCCGGACUCAAAACUGAUGCUGUUUUCUGAUGUCAAACCUAAGCUAUGUUGUAAAUGGUUGUAAAAAGUACUGUACUUUCUAUUAUGUAUAGAACAAUUUGUUUUAAUGUGUAAAAAAGUAUUUACAGGACAAACAAAAACAAAAUGUUAAAAAAAUAAGCUACAUUAAAAAAAAAAAUUAACAAUGUACAUAAGCACUUU